rnacentral:rRNA from 1 species
GACGAACGCUGGCGGCGUGCCUAAUACAUGCAAGUCGAACGCAGUGGGGACGGGUGAGUAACACGUGGGUAACCUCCCAUCAGCGGGGAUAACACUUGGAAACAGGUGCUAAACCGCUACUGAUGGAUGGACACGCGGUGGAUUAGCUAGUUGGUGAGGUAACGGCUCACCAAGGCCACGAUGCAUAGCCGACCUGGGAGGGGGAUCGGCCACCCUGGAACUGAGACACGGACCAGACUCCUACGUGAUGCAGCAGUGGGGAAUCUUCGGCAAUGGGCGAAAGCCUGAGGCAGCCAUGCCGCGUGUAUGAAGAAGGCCUUAGGGUUGUAAAGUACUUUCAGCGGGGAGGCGUUACCCGCAGAAGAAGCACCGGCUAACUCCGUGCCAGCAGCCGCGGUAAUAC